AUUGAACGCUGGCGGAAUGCUUUACACAUGCAAGUCGAGCGGCAGCGCGGGGCAACCUGGCGGCGAGCGGCGAACGGGUGAGUAAUACAUCGGAACGUGCCCAGACGUGGGGGAUAACUACUCGAAAGAGUGGCUAAUACCGCAUACGAUCUAAGGAUGAAAGCGGGGAUCGCAAGACCUCGCGCGUUUGGAGCGGCCGAUGGCAGAUUAGGUAGUUGGUGGGGUAAAGGCUUACCAAGCCCGCGAUCUGUAGCUGGUCUGAGAGGAUGAUCAGCCACACUGGGACUGAGACACGGCCCAGACUCCUACGGAGGCAGCAGUGGGGAAUUUUGGACAAUGGGCGAAAGCCUGAUCCAGCCAUUCCGCGUGCAGGAUG
rnacentral:rRNA from 1 species